rnacentral:lncRNA from 1 species
ACAAUUUUAUGGUUUUAUAUAUAUGGAAGCAAGCAAAGCCACAAGAAUCAGAGAAAAAGAUGUGAAAAUUAAAGUAUAUAUACAAUAAUAAUUAAUCUAAAAAACAGUUUGCAAUACCUUCUGUAAAGAAAUAUCCUCACCACAGCUGAGAACUUCACUUGGCUAUCAAUUACAGAUAUAUAAAGCCUGUUACCUAGAAACAAAAAAUUAGGUCAGCCAGCUGAAACAUAUUUAUAAACCAACAUUGGAGAUAGUACUCCAUUUAUAAAAAAAAUUACAAGACUCAAAACCAAGUCGACUCAGCAAAAUCAUAACCGAUUACAUUCAUCCCACUCAGCUCCUCCAAUAUAUCCAACAUUCCCUUCAUAUUUACAAAAGGUAAGUGGUCCUAUAUAUCCCACUCAAGAAUGCAUAAGUUUCUUCAAUCUUAAGUAUCUAAAGUUUUCCUCUACGUUUAUAGAAACUUCGGAAGCAUCUCCCUAUAGUUCUUCAAGUACACGACAUAGAUAUAUGAGUGUUUAUGUGUUAUGCCAAAACAACACAUGACACCCAUUUGUCUAGUAUGCACCCAGAGAACAUGAGGAGCAGCUGCUGAAAAACCCAUUUUUACGUGGGAAAAAAAUUUCAGGCACUAGCUACCAUAGAAAUCUAUGCAUUACCAAACUGUCCAAGCCUAGAUAAUUCAAGAAUUAUUAAUAGACAUAAGAUCCUCACUAUCAUCCAAAAGAUGACACUAAUAAAACAUGUGUCUAUUAAUAAUUUCUUAAAGGAGUUUAAGCUUUCAAUGCAUGUAUCAAAAGUUUAAAAUUGAAUCUGAAACUUGAAUAACACAUAAAAAUCAUAAAUCUCUUCAAUUUAUUCCUAAUAAAAUGUAGCAUUUUUUCACAUUUCAUUUCUUAAGCAAAACCAUAAAAAAUUACAGACAAUAAAUACAUUUUCUAGCACUGAUGCACAUUAUGUUUACUGAGCAAUAAGUUUUAAGUCAUUCAUAUUAAAAUACUUCUUCCUAUUCUAUAAACAAAUAACUAGUACGUACACACAAUUAAUAAAUUAAAUGUAACCUGGUUGUGAAUCUUGCAAAGUCUUACUAUUUGUUUUUUUUUUUUGGUGGUGGUGGUGGUGGGGGGGGGGGGGGGGGGGGGGGGGGGGGGGGGGGGGGGGGGGGGGGGGGGGGGAGGGGAGGGGGGGCGGUUAUGCUCAUUUGUAUGUUGUUAACAGAAAUUGAUCCAAAGCCUCAGUUUUAAUUAGCUUCAUUAUAGCCAAUGAUUAGGUGUUUAAAAACCAAUGAAUAUUUUUUAUAAGAAAUCAACAAUAUUGUUGAAAGAAAAACCAAAUAAAAAUAAUAAAGCAAUGCAUAGAUUAAGGCUCUUUAUUAUCUAAUAACUAAUCAAACUAAGUUGUGGGUAAAGGCGAAUAUGUUUGUUUGGCCAAUAAUAAACUCAAGGAAUCACCAAUAAUCACCUAGUUACUAUUCCUUAUGCCAUGCAAUGUAAUGGUGUCAGUAAUGGCGACAAGGCAGGCAAUAACUAGCUAGCUAGUUAUGAUAGUUGCUUAACUUAACCUACUGGAAAUCUGAAGACCAAAAUGAAGAAACUUUGCCUAGAACUAGAAUAGGAAAACGUUCAUACCCAAAACCAAUAUACAUGAUUAACAAACUUGAUUAUAUGUAUAUUUUUGUUUGCCACACCAAAUCCCACUAUUUCCAUACUCAUAAGCACAAAAAACCAUCGCAAAAAUGAAUGACCAUAUAAAAUAAAAUAGGUCGUAGGACAUUGAGAAUAGGACAAUAUGAUUUAUGUACCGUAAAAUAACUAUAUCUGCAGUCAACUAUAUUUCUGUUAGAACUCUAAAGUUUUCCAUUAAAUUUUUUUCCCUGUUUGGUAAACCACUUAACUGAAACACUUAAGCAAGAUUGACAAUCAUAGACAUACAAGUAUUAAUAGGCUCGUUCAAGUGAAAUGAGCAUUAUUUCACAUAUCCUUUAGGCUUUUAAGUCAUUUAGAAGUCAUUCAUGUUAAACAAUUUCUUCAUAUACUUUCAAUAUAAUUAGUACAUACACAAUUAAUUAAUUAAAUAAAUCUGUUUCAGCUAGCACAGGAACUUAAGCAAUCAGAGCUAUUAGUUAUAGCUAGGACUUGAAUGAGGCACCUUUCAAAGUUCAAGAGGAGCAUCUGAACAGAAUGAAAGCAUUUUGUAGAAAUGGUAGUGAUGCUUUACAUCUACAUGCUCUUACACAAUAUGAACUUUCAUUUAUUCAAGAACAUAACACUAAUCCAAGCUCUUACUCUACAAGUCAAUUCAGUUUGUAGAUGCAAGCCAUUGUAAAAACUUUUGUGUUAUAAUUUCCGUAAAUGGAACAUGACAUUACUAAUAUAGAAUCAGCAAUGUUAUAUAACUUAUCAGACAAUAUAACAAGCACUUGGCGAGCAUAUAAGAUAAACUAAAACAAGUUAAUUAGAAAAUGAAACUAAAACCCAAGCUCCGCUAUUCAUUGUAGAAGCUUUAAACAUAAAAUAAAAGUAAAUCUAAAUACAUGAUUGUAAAACAUUAGAAUGGAUGUUGGAAUUAAAGCUAAAUUCAAUAGUAAUCCAAAUGAAUCCAUUUGAACUUUGUAAAUUCCGCAGAACAAAAUUAAUUUGAGUGAGCAAAGUCACCAAUGGAACAAGAACAGAAGGGCUUCAACUUCUAGGAACAAGAAAUAUUGCCGGCGGGACAAAAAUUGACAUUAAUGGUUACAAUACGAAUUAAAGAAAUCAAAACCUAUAAUUACAAGCUAAGAAAGAGAAGAAACUCAUAAUCACAAGCUUACCUGAAACGAUGAGAGAGAUAAUAAGAUGAAGAAGAAGAUCGCCGCCGUUUUACGCCAUUCUCCGGCUACCAGUAAGGUUUAGGAUGGCCAGGCACGCACGAGAGAGAAUUUGGGACUUUGGUUUUGAAAAUAUUGACUUCAGCAAAUAGUUUUCUAUUUAGAAACAAAUUUAUAACUCUACCGUCAAAAUAAUAGUAUGCCAAUUGGCUCUCUACCGUCACGUGGUUAGUAACAUAAGUGAGAGCAGUCUAGCAGAUAUUCCCGCG